UACGAAGGGGGCUAGCGUUGCUCGGAAUCACUGGGCGUAAAGCGCACGUAGGCGGCUUCUUAAGUCAGGGGUGAAAUCCUGGAGCUCAACUCCAGAACUGCCUUUGAUACUGGGAAGCUUGAGUCCGGGAGAGGUGAGUGGAACUGCGAGUGUAGAGGUGAAAUUCGUAGAUAUUCGGAAGAACACCAGUGGCGAAGGCGGCUCACUGGACUGGUAUUGACGCUGAGGUGCGAAAGCGUGGGGAGCAAACAGG
rnacentral:rRNA from 1 species